rnacentral:rRNA from 1 species
GACGAACGCUGGCGGCGUGCUUAACACAUGCAAGUCGAACGGAAAGGCCCUGCUUUUGUGGGGUGCUCGAGUGGCGAACGGGUGAGUAACACGUGAGUAACCUGCCCUUGACUUUGGGAUAACUUCAGGAAACUGGGGCUAAUACCGGAUAGGAGCUCCUGCUGCAUGGUGGGGGUUGGAAAGUUUCGGCGGCUGGGGAUGGACUCGCGGCUUAUCAGCUUGUUGGUGGGGUAGUGGCUUACCAAGGCUUUGACGGGUAGCCGGCCUGAGAGGGUGACCGGCCACAUUGGGACUGAGAUACGGCCCAGACUCCUACGGGAGGCAGCAGUGGGGAAUAUUGCACAAUGGGCGGAAGCCUGAUGCAGCAACGCCGCGUGCGGGAUGACGGCCUUCGGGUUGUAAACCGCUUUCGCCUGUGACGAAGCGUGAGUGACGGUAAUGGGUAAAGAAGCACCGGCUAACUACGUGCCAGCAGCCGCGGUGAUACGUAGGGUGCGAGCGUUGUCCGGAUUUAUUGGGCGUAAAGGGCUCGUAGGUGGUUGAUCGCGUCGGAAGUGUAAUCUUGGGGCUUAACCCUGAGCGUGCUUUCGAUACGGGUUGACUUGAGGAAGGUAGGGGAGAAUGGAAUUCCUGGUGGAGCGGUGGAAUGCGCAGAUAUCAGGAGGAACACCAGUGGCGAAGGCGGUUCUCUGGGCCUUUCCUGACGCUGAGGAGCGAAAGCGUGGGGAGCGAACAGGCUUAGAUACCCUGGUAGUCCACGCUGUAAACGGUGGGUACUAGGUGUGGGGUCCAUUCCACGGGUUCCGUGCCGUAGCUAACGCUUUAAGUACCCCGCCUGGGGAGUACGGCCGCAAGGCUAAAACUCAAAGGAAUUGACGGGGCCCCGCACAAGCGGCGGAGCAUGCGGAUUAAUUCGAUGCAACGCGUAGAACCUUACCUGGGUUUGACAUGGAUCGGGAGUGCUCAGAGAUGGGUGUGCCUCUUUUGGGGUCGGUUCACAGGUGGUGCAUGGCUGUCGUCAGCUCGUGUCGUGAGAUGUUGGGUUAAGUCCCGCAACGAGCGCAACCCUUGUUCACUGUUGCCAGCGCGUUAUGGUGGGGACUCAGUGGAGACCGCCGGGGUCAACUCGGAGGAAGGUGGGGAUGACGUCAAGUCAUCAUGCCCCUUAUGUCCAGGGCUUCACGCAUGCUACAAUGGCUGGUACAGAGAGUGGCGAGCCUGUGAGGGUGAGCGAAUCUCGGAAAGCCGGUCUCAGUUCGGAUUGGGGUCUGCAACUCGACCUCAUGAAGUCGGAGUCGCUAGUAAUCGCAGAUCAGCAACGCUGCGGUGAAUACGUUCCCGGGGCU